rnacentral:rRNA from 1 species
AACGGCCGCGGGAUCCUACACCGUGCAAAGGUAGCAUAAUCACUUGUCACCUAAAUAGUGACUAGUAUGAAUGGCCCAAUGAGGACUUUCCUGUCUCUUGUAACCAAUCAAUGAAACUGAUCUUCCAGUCCAAAAGCUGGAAUAAAACCACAAGACGAAAAGACCCUGUGGAACUUUUAAGUGCUAGUCAACAACAUGAUAAAACACUUUUAGUUGGGGCAACUUUGGAACAAAACAAAACUUCCAAUUAAGGAACAAAAUAUCAUAAAUCUAGGCCCACACGCCAAAAUUCUAGAAUCCUAAAUCGACCCAGUACCACUGAUAAAAGAAACAAGCUACCCCAGGGAUAACAGCGCCAUCCCCUCUUAGAGUCCCAAUCGACGAGGGGGCUUACGACCUCGAUGUUGGAUCAGGGCCCCCAAACAGUGCAGCAGCUGUUAAAGGUUUGUUUGUUCAACAAUUAAA